rnacentral:rRNA from 1 species
CGAGAGGGUUCGGCCCUCGGCGUACUGCUCAGUAACACGUGGAUAACCUGCCCUAAGGAAGGGGAUAACCCCGGGAAACUGGGGAUAAUACCCUAUAGGUUACAGAUGCUGGAAUGCUUUGUAACCCAAAGUUCCGACGCCUUAGGAUGGAUCUGCGGCCGAUUAGGUUGUUGUCGGGGUAACGGCCCAACAAGCCAGUAAUCGGUACGGGUUGUGGGAGCAAGAGCCCGGAGUUGGAUUCUGAGACACGAAUCCAGGCCCUACGGGGCGCAGCAGGCGCGAAAACUUUACAAUGCGGGCAACCGUGAUAAGGGAACCUCGAGUGCCUGUAUAUGCAGGCUGUCCAGGUGUCUAAAACACACCUGAAGAAAGGGCCGGGCAAGACCGGUGCCAGCCGCCGCGGUAAUACCGGCGGCUCGAGUGGUGGCCACUUUUAUUGGGCUUAAAGCGUUCGUAGCUGGGUUGUUAAGUCUCUUGGGAAAUCUGACGGCUUAACCGUCAGGCGUCUAAGAGAUACUGGCAAUCUUGGAUCCGGGAGAGGUGAGGGGUACUUCGGGGGUAGGAGUGAAAUCCUGUAAUCCUCGAGGGACCACCUGUGGCGAAGGCGCCUCACCAGAACGGCUUCGACAGUGAGGGACGAAAGCUGGGGGAGCAAACCGGAUUAGAUACCCGGGUAGUCCCAGCCGUAAACGAUGUGCGUUAGGUGUAUCGGUGACCACGAGUCACCGAGGUGCCGAAGGGAAACCGUGAAACGUUCCGCCUGGGAAGUACGGUCGCAAGGCUGAAACUUAAAGGAAUUGGCGGGGGAGCA